GUGAACAGCAACAACGCUCCAAUAUGUUAAAAUGCAUGAAAGCUCAAAUAAAAACAACAUAGAACCGCAGUGUUGCACAGAGAUCAAUAUAACCGUUGGGUGAAGCGGUCAUAGCCGUGUUUUAUCGUGAAUAAAGCACAGCUCUUGACCAAUCAGAAUCAAGGAUUCGAACUAACCGUUUUAUAAGUACUCCGUAAAACAAUGUCAUUGCAAAUAUUAUUGUUACCUGUUCAUCAUUGUGUUUUAUUCGGUUUUAAUUUUUCCUGCAUUUUCCAUCUGGAAAAAAGCCACAACGAUGUUAAUUGAUUCAGGAUUUCUGCCGUCGUCUGUCACAACUUCGUCUGGCUUCAUUAUGUUUUUUUUCUUAGCCGACGAAGAUUGACGCUCUGUCGGCUUUUGUGCAAAAUAAUACAUGUGGUCCUCAAAUUUCACUACUAACGUUACUACUUCUUCUUCUUUGUGCCUAUUCAAUGUAGUGACGGUGCAAGUUGCCUCUAAAAACCAACGAGGAAGAUGAAAAACAGAGUGACAGAAAGUUUGUGCGUUUAGGGCCACUGUAGAAACAUGGCGGCACAAAAUGGCGACUUGGCGUAUAAGGGGGCCCGCGGUGUGUGUAGAGAGAAACGGCUCAUUCUAAGAUCCUCAUCAAUUUUGCACACGCCACCUUUAAGUGUGCAUUCAAUGGACACUUUACUAUCCCAUGAGGCCACGGGAGAGGAGUUAUGAAUGGCAGGGAAGCGUUGGUCAUCAGUGACCAUGGUGGCACAUUCAUACUAUAGAAAACCUAUUUUUAAAACGGUCACAAGGUGAGUACUUGUUCAAAAUAAGUACCCUCAGUACUCAGCAAGUGUGUGAUUUCAGACGCAAGACUUCAUCUUCAUUCUCUCAUCAUCUCUGUGCACUGGAUUACCUCAAACCCAACUCGUCACAGGCCCACACACAACCUGCAGAAAGAGCGGCAGAUCUCCUACACAUCUUCCACACCCUUGCAUGUUAAGUUAUUAAAUAUUUUGUCAAAUUUUCAGCUACUAUAGAAGUGCAUAACUCUCUUCCACAUAACUUCUUUUCCCAUAAAUGUGUUGGAAAUGUGGACCUACUACUGACUUCAGACUGCUUCUGUCAGUCACUUUUUUCAUCAGUGAUCUUGUGAAAUUGUCUAAUCUGAGACAUGUAUGUGCCUUUACUAAGUAAAAAACUCUUCUUCGCACACGCAUCUGUUCUCAUCCUCUCCAGCUGGAUGAACCAAAAAGGGAAGAGAUAAGAAAGCCUAGAUUUGCAUAAAGGACAGAAAGAUUUUUUUUUUUUUUUUUUUUUUUGCAUUACAACAUUUUUCCGACAAGCACAAUGUGUCCAAAUGUUGUACUUUUGCUUUUGUUUCUAUCUAUUUAGAUUCUGAUUAUAAUACAGAUAUAAGAAUCA